UCUUAGCAUCACCAGUUACCAAGUACACAUAGGACCAAGCUCCAGCUUGCAAUAAAUGACUCUUUGCUGUUUGCAUUGAUCAUGGUCUCUGGUGGUCUGAGAGGGGGCGUCCGAAAUCUGAGCACUUUAUGUGGGAGCUUGUCCGGGAUAGCCCCCCCAUAAGCCACACAGAUACCUGAUCAGCGAGUCAUCCAGCUAGCCGGUGGGAUUCAAAAGAUCCGUUGAUGAAUUGCCUUGCUAAACAAGCGAGCCCUGGGAAAAUGAAGCUUAACAAAGGUGAAAAUCAUCUGUAAAGUUUGCUGGCACUCAUCCCAGUUGUGCGUGUGUGUGAAAAUUACUGUCUCUAAUGAGAUCACCAUGAUACACUUAAUAACCAGCAGUGACCCUAUCAUCCAUGGGAACAGAUAGUCAUCAUGGCCUCCUGGUCUGGACCACAGGAGAGGCGGGUGCAUGCAGCUGAAGGGAGCAGCACAUGCUGCUGAAGGAGAUAGGUUGUCAAGCCC